rnacentral:rRNA from 1 species
UACGUAGGGUGCAAGCGUUGUCCGGAAUUACUGGGCGUAAAGCGCGCGUAGGUGGUGUGUUAAGUCUGCCGGUCAAAUGCCGAGGCUCAACCUCGUGCCCGCCGGGGAUACUGGCACGCUGGAGACACGGUAGAGGCAAGCGGAAUUCCGGGUGAUGAGCGGUGGAAUGCGUAGAGAGUCCGGAAGAACGACCGGAGGCGAAGGCGGCUUGCUGGGCGUGAUCGUGACGCGUGAGGCGGCGAAAGCGUGGGGAGCGAACAGG